AGUGAACGCUGGCGGUAGGCCUAACACAUGCAAGUCGAACGGCAGCACAGUAAGAGCUUGCUCUUACGGGUGGCGAGUGGCGGACGGGUGAUGAAUACAUCGGAAUCUACUUUUUCGUGGGGGAUAACGUAGGGAAACUUACGCUAAUACCGCAUACGACCUACGGGUGAAAGCAGGGGAUCUUCGGACCUUGCGCGAUUGAAUGAGCCGAUGUCGGAUUAGCUAGUUGGCGGGGUAAAGGCCCACCAAGGCGACGAUCCGUAGCUGGUCUGAGAGGAUGAUCAGCCACACUGGAACUGAGACACGGUCCAGACUCCUACGGGAGGCAGCAGUGGGGAAUAUUGGACAAUGGGCGCAAGCCUGAUCCAGCCAUACCGCGUGGGUGAAGAAGGCCUUCGGGUUGUAAAGCCCUUUUGUUGGGGAAGAAAAGCAGCAGGUUAAUACCCCGCUGUUCUGACGGUACCCAAAGAAUAAGCACCGGCUAACUUCGUG
rnacentral:rRNA from 1 species